CACGACCAAGUAUCACAUUCUACCCAAAUGAUGGAAGCAAGGACAAGCUUUUUACUAAAGAUAUUGAGCCACGACCAAGUGCCACAUUCUACCCAAAUGAUGAGAGCAAGGACAGGUUUUUUACUAAAGAUAUUGAGCCACGACCAAGUCUCACAUUCUACCCAAAUGAUGAUACCAAGAACAAGCUUUUUACUAAAGAUAUUGAGCCACGACCAAGUGCCACAUUCUACCCAAAUGAUGAGAGCAAGGACAAGUUUUUUAUUAAAGAUAUUGAGCCACGACCAAGUGCCACAUUCUACCCAAAUGAUGGAAGCAAGGACAAGCUUUUUACUAAAGAUAUUGAGCCACGACCAAGUCUCACAUUCUACCCAAAUGAUGAUACCAAGAACAAGCUUUUUACUAAAGAUAUUGAGCCACGACCAAGUGCCACAUUCUACCCAAAUGAUGAGAGCAAGGACAGGUUUUUUACUAAAGAUAUUGAGCCACGACCAAGUCUCACAUUCUACCCAAAUGAUGAUACCAAGAACAAGCUUUUUACUAAAGAUAUUGAGCCACGACCAAGUGCCACAUUCUACCCAAAUGAUGAGAGCAAGGACAAGUUUUUUAUUAAAGAUAUUGAGCCACGACCAAGUGCCACAUUCUACCCAAAUGAUGAUACCAAGAACAAGCUUUUUACUAAAGAUAUUGAGCCACGACCAAGUGCCACAUUCUACCCAAAUGAUGAGAGCAAGGACAGGUUUUUUACUAAAGAUAUUGAGCCACGACCAAGUGCCACAUUCUAUCCAAAUGAUGAUACUAAGAACAAGCUUUUUACUAAAGAUAUUGAGCCACGACCAAGUGCCACAUUCUACCCAAAUGAUGAUGCAAACAAAAAGUUUUUUACUAAAGAUAUUGAGCCGCGACCAAGUGUCACAUUCUACCCAAAUAAUGAUAGCAAGAACAAGCUUUUCAUUAAAAAUAUUGAGUCACGACUAAGUACCACGGAAUGAUUACGCCAAGAACAACCUUUUCAGGAAAGAUAUGCAAUCCUUUGGUUACGUUAUAUGAUC
rnacentral:lncRNA from 1 species